AAAAGGAUUAAAGAUGCAGCUGCUUUCCCAUUCAAGCGGCAGUCAAAAAGAGCCCAAAGUGACAGUUUUCCUGUACGGCCACUGUUCUGUUGUCUGUAACUGAUUUAUGACAUUUUGGGAAAACAGCU